rnacentral:rRNA from 1 species
AAUGGGGGAAACCCUGACGGAGCGACGCCGCGUGGACGAUGGAGGCCGUAAGGUUGUAAAGUCCUUUUCCUGGUGAAGAAUGACUGUGGGAGUGGAAAGCCCAUGGGAUGACGUUAGCCAGGGAAUAAGCCCCGGCCAAUUACGUGCCAGCAGCCGCGGUAAUACGUAUGGGGCAAGCGUUGUUCGGAGUUAUUGGGCGUAAAGGGCGUGUAGGCGGCUCAUCAAGUCUGGUGUGAAAAUGCAGGGCCUAACCCUGCAGAUGCGCUGGAAACUGGUGGGCUUGAGUUCCUGAGGGGAAGCUGGAAUUCCAGGUGUAGGGGUGAAAUCUGUAGAUAUCUGGAAGAACACCGGUGGCGAAGGCGAGCUUCUAUCAGAGGACUGACGCUGAGUCGCGAAAGCGUGGGGAGCAAA